AAUUUUUGUUUUUCCCUUUUUCUUGAAGAUCAAAUCUAAGAAAUGGGUAACGCGAUUAGGUUACUCCGGAAAUGUUUGAAUCCCACGACGGACAAUAAGCCUCACGACGGCUCCGCCUCUUCGGUUUGAGCUCAAUACGCUUCCGGUGGAUACCAAAUCUGUGGCAGAUGGAGAUACCGUUACUGUGUAUGUUAGUAGCAAAGACCCGCUUGUGUCAUCCUCUGUUCCUAAGGAUGUGAGUAUUGCAGCGGUUAAAAGAGCCAAAGCGCGUGAGAAGAGGAAUUAUACUGAAGCAGAUGCACUUCACAAGAAGAUCAUAUCUUCUGGUUACAGGAUGAUAAGUUUU